rnacentral:rRNA from 1 species
CCUACGGGGCGCAGCAGUGGGGAAUAUUGCGCAAUGGGCGAAAGCCUGACGCAGCGACGCCGCGUGAGGGAUGAAGGUCUUCGGAUCGUAAACCUCUGUCAGCAGGGAAGAACGGUCACUGUGCUAAUCAGCAGUGAAUUGACGGUACCUGCAAAGGAAGCUCCGGCUAACUCCGUGCCAGCAGCCGCGGUAAUACGGAGGGUGCGAGCGUUAAUCGGAAUUACUGGGCGUAAAGCGCUCGUAGGCGGUAUGUCAAGUCAAGGGUGAAAUCCCCGGGCUCAACGUGGGAACUGCCUUUGAAACUGGCAGACUGGAGUGUGUGAGAGGAUAGUGGAAUUCCAGGUGUAGGGGUGAAAUCCGUAGAUAUCUGGAGGAACAUCAGUGGCGAAGGCGACUAUCUGGCACAUAACUGACGCUGAGGAGCGAAAGCGUGGGUAGCAAACAGGAUUAGAUACCCUGGUAGUC